GCUUAACACAAUAGGAGUCAUUUAUAGCCAAUUAAUCAAUCCACAAAACGUUAAACUUAUGACGGCUGUUUCAAUAAAAAUGAUUGGCUGUCACUUGACACGUGUCUCUUCCUAUCCUACUGCCUUCUGGGAGUUGUGGUUCGUUGCUGACGGAACUAAAAUACCCAGAAUUCCCGAGUCGGGCUCCAAUGCCGCCAGUUCUGCUUGUGCAGCUCACAGUCACAUGAUUCAGUCCAGCCAGAUGAUUGGUUUCAGCCGAAUCCUGUUGAAAGAGGCCAAAUACCAAACCAAAUCCUGGAUUGGCCCAGGCUGCUUGUGAGAUGAUGGAGGGAGAAAGACAAAGCCUUAAGAAGGGCAAAAAGGCAUCCAAAGAGAAAUCGGCCGAUACGCAUCACCAGAAAUCACAAUUCCGGGAAGCACAGAGUUCAGACAUGGAGCGAGAAAAUCAAUACUGGGAAUCCCGGAAAUCUCAUGUCAGAAGGAAAGGGUUUGUCUGCAAGGAAUGCUGGAAAGUGUUUUCUCACGGGUCGCACUUUGUGCAACAUCAAAAAACCCAUACGGGACAGUCAACGUUUGCGUGCCACGAGUGCGGGAAGCGAUUCAACAAAAAGUCUAACUUGGACCGUCACGAGAAGACUCACAAUAAGCAGGUCAAGGCUACGGUGAGGUCGAGACCAGUCAAGAGCAAGAAGAAAACGCAACCACCUUAAGCUUUUUUUAUAUAUGUUCCUCUAUGGACACGUAAAAUGGCUUGUGUUUACCUGAAUGGAAGUAACGUUAAUGUUGAUGACUGUAGAGAAGGAAGCCUGCUGGAAAUGCCAGUGCUAUGUACAAAGAUUAGAAAUGGUCAAGAAAACUUGUUUUUAUUUUUUAGCUCCAGGGUUUAUGUUCACCAUGUGUGCCACAGGCCACAAUAGGUUCCAAAGUACACAUUUUAAUAACUGUAUCCAGAACUCUAUGCUAUCUGGGUCUGUUAUUGGAUCUUCACACCCAAAAUUUGUAAACUAAAAAUGAUUUUAAAAACAUCUAAAGAGUCACUAGCUUGUAUCGGUCAUACUAACGGUUUAAGGUGACAAUCUUGCACUGUUUAUUACUGAUUGGCCUGUGGGCCAAAUGAAAGGGCAAUACAGUGUAUGGCCACCUUUCUGUUGUUUCACUUGUUCUGAACAAUCAGAAUAGCAAGAUGUGAAAAGGGUCAGGAUUAUAAGGAAGCCAUACAUGUACUUAUUUUAUCAGUGUGGGCUUUAAUGUAGUGAUCUGUAGAUUGUCUUGUAAAACACCAUUCUCUCUGUUUGGCCCUCUGUGUACUUGAAAUGCCAGGGCCUAUUUUGAAUCCCAGUCCGGGCCUGGCUGUAAGUUUGUAUGUCUGCUGAAUGUAUAUAUAGCAGCCCUAUACAAAGUUCUGCCCCUUAGUGAAGUGGUUGUUAAAAAUGUUCAGUUAAAGCCCUACUUAAUUGUCCCCUUUACGAAAUGUACCAGUGCAUUAUACUCCUCUAAAUAUAGGAUUGUGCUUAAAAAGUAGUGUUUCGGGCUGAUUUAUGGAGAAAUUCCCCCAAAACCCAACUAGUCCCACCCAUCUGUUCCACUUCCUGCUGCCUUCUUUCCCAGCCCGGGCAGAGGGGCCAGCAGCACUCCGCACACUGUACUCUUGGAUAGCAACCAAUCAGCAGCUAGGUUGACCCGAUAGGGAACUGAAGCCUGUCUUUGCUAGUGUGACUGCAAGGCUGUGAUUGGCUAUCCCCCUCCUUUUGACAGGGACCUUUACAACACGCCAACCCCUCAUUUGAAACACGGCAGGGACCUAAGUGGAUCUAUAGGGAGCUCCAAUAAUGGGGCCAUUUUUUACAGAUAGGAUUACUUUUUAGCCCAAAGUAAAACCAGCACCAUAAUAAUUGCCUACAAGAUUAGGUUUUGUUUUUAAUUUAUCCAAUAUGUGUCCUUUAAAGAUCCCCCCUUUGGUCAAUGCAGUCUUUAGCUCAUGAAACGGAAACUCCAGUUGUAGGAAAAUAUUGUUAUAUCGGUAUAUCAGUCAUUCAGCUAAGUUGCAAGCAAAUACAAAUUCACCCAAAUCUUCCCCUCAAUGACCUUCGAGCUGAGCUUUUAAGAUGAUGCCCCAUGGAGUGAUUAGUCACCGGUCGUUAACUCUCUGCUACUGUGGGCGACUAAUCUCACCUCCGGUGGAAAGGCCUACGUGUUGCUUCAAUUUUCUGAAGCCGCGCAAAGUUUCCUCCUGCAGGCAACCGGCGAUUCACUUUAUUGCCAGUGGAUAGGCAUUUCGGGGAGAUUAAUUGCACGCAGCAGAGAUUCAGCCACGGGUGACAAAUCUCCCUGUCGGACAAAAUUGCCAUUCUUCCCAAUUAUCACCCUAACUGGCCCGCAGGUCCCUCUGCUACUUCAAGCCCCCCAGUCUGGGAACCACUAUUUUAGAGAAAUAGUCUACAGGCUUUUUCAGUAUACAUGAUUAAAGGUCUCAAUAUAGUGGUGACAGGUGCCCUAUAAGCAACAGGAUGAUUAAAUUCAUCCUAUUUGGUAAUUCCCACUUUCAGCUUCUUUUAUUGGGGUCACAGGCACUGCGCAACUCCGAAAAUGUAUCUGAGCAGUUGAUACACACUGAAAGGGGAACUCUGGCUUCCAAACCAACAUUUGUUAAAGAGCCCCACACAACACAGAAACCCCAUAAAUAAAUAAAUCCCAUUUUUAUAUGCUGAAAUCCAACUGCAAAACAGUUCUUCUCUUUCUGCAUCAUUUGAAAUCCUGGUAGGGGAGUAGGUACUAAAACACGGAUGUUACAAAUUGUAACAACUUCUCCACAGCUUACAGACAGCAUGCAGGAACUACAUAACCCACAAUGCAUUGCACUGUGAUGUUCCUUUCCUUAUUGACAUCACGUGCAGAGGAUUGUGGGAUUGGGAGGAUGCAGGCUGAGGGGAGGCGACUACUGUUACAUUUUAUUCGAGUCUCAAAGUAGUCAGCCUAAGCGGGGCUUAGGUAACUGUUCCAAACCAUAUUAUUACAUUAAAAACCAUGGCUGUAUAUUUUUUAAUCAAGGUAUACUUUUCAAAAAGCUUAAGUCGUGUUGGAGUUCACCUUUACAUUACAGCUUACUUCUGACUGAGUCUUGCCUAAACAGUUUCCUCUGAAUAUGUCAUGUAGCGGAGCUAGGUGGAUCUGCAGGCACUGAAUGGGGACAUUAAAUGCAGAAAUAUGACUGCCGAAUGGUCUGCACAAAUAGCUAAUGGUUGUUGUUGGUACCUGAUGGCUUCAAUCAGCACAGCUGCCCAACACAAAAGGUAUGCUGACAUAGAGAGGAAGGAGAAAAUAAAUAAUACAGUCUAAUUAUAGCUAUAUUUAAUUUCCGAUUAUGUGUAAUUUACAAAUCUACAUUAAAUGUUAGCUUUUCCCUAGCCCACACAAACAUAUAUAUAUAUUUACAUUUUCCACUGUGUGACCAUGAAAGAGAUAUUCUGGUUGCUGAUCAAGUACAGUAUAUGCUGUACAUCUCGUGCAUGUUCCAGUUCAAAUACUUUCCAUUCUAGAUAGAGCUGGUUAUUUUCAACCUUCAUGGAUUUAGUAUCUUGUUGCAUCCUUUCAACCCUUGGAAAUCCCCGUUAGAACUAAACACAAAGUAGCAUGUUUUCAACAAAAUGCUUUUUAUGGUAUCUAUAAGUUCACAACAUACUGGCCAAAGAGACAUUAGUUAUGUGUUGCCCCAAAAUUGGACGACAUCCUGACUGGAAUCUGUUUUGACCUGAAUAUAUUUUUAAUUAAUAGGCUGGAGAAUCACAGAUGCACUGUUCUUUCCAGAUCUUUAGAUUGGCAUUAGUGGCAGGCCCAGACUGGGAUUUAGGACGAAGACACAUGGGGCGAUUAAUUGCCGGGACUUUUGGAAAGGUGCGGGCCGACUAAUCCGCGGGAUGAAAUUGUCUGCGUGUUUUGUGAUGGCAAUACAAUUGUGCUCUAUUAGUCGCCGCAACUGAAGUUAAAAGUCGCAACGACUAAUUGCCCAGCCUGAUCGAGAUGUGGCCAAUUUUGGGCCAGAUGCUGGUCGGGGAGGCCUCUUGGUGGUGCCCAUACAUGGACAGAUAAGAUGCCGAAUCAGUCUAAAGGACCAAUAUCGGCAGCUGAAAUCGCCCCGUGUAUGGCCACCUUAAGAGAAUACUUACUUUGAUCUUGAAUCCCAUAUCCAUCUUUGCUUUCUGAAGAUUUGCUACAAUUCUGACUUGGACCAAUUUUCGCACCACCUUCUUGCACAAUUUGACGGCUCCCUGUAAAAUAAUGAAAUGAAAAUUAAAGUAUAAUGUGUAUUGCAC